rnacentral:rRNA from 1 species
AACGAACGCUGGCGGCGUGCCUAACACAUGCAAGUCGAGCGCGAAAGUCUUCGGAUGAGUAGAGCGGCGCACGGGUGAGUAGCGCGUGGAUAAUCUGCCUUCAGGCUCGGAAUAACCAGGGGAAACUUUGGCUAAUACCGGAUAAGACCACGCAACGAGAGUUGCGUGGGAAAAGCAGGGGACUUCUUCGGAAGCCUUGCACCAGAAGAUGAGUCCGCGUCCCAUCAGCUAGUUGGCGGGGUAAUGGCCCACCAAGGCUAAGACGGGUAGCUGGUCUGAGAGGAUGAUCAGCCACACUGGAACUGAGACACGGUCCAGACUCCUACGGGAGGCAGCAGUGGGGAAUAUUGCGCAAUGGGGGAAACCCUGACGCAGCAACGCCGCGUGAGUGAUGAAGGUCUUCGGAUCGUAAAGCUCUGUCGGUAGGAACGAUGGAGUCACUAAAUAACAAGUAGUGGCUUUGACGGUACCUGCAAAGGAAGCACCGGCUAACUCUGUGCCAGCCGCCGCGGUAACAC